rnacentral:rRNA from 1 species
GUCCACGCUGUAAACGAUGAGAACUAGCCGUUGGUGGGGUAAACCCAUCAGUGGCGCAGCAAACGCGCUAAGUUCUCCGCCUGGGGAGUACGGCCGCAAGGUUAAAACUCAAAGGAAUUGACGGGGGCCCGCACAAGCGGUGGAGCAUGUGGUUUAAUUCGAUGCAACGCGAAGAACCUUACCUAUCCUUGACAUCCUUGGAAGCUUUCAGAAAUGAGAGUGUGCCUUCGGGAGCUAAGAGACAGGUGCUGCAUGGCUGUCGU